rnacentral:rRNA from 1 species
GGUUAAGCGACUAAGCGUACACGGUGGAUGCCCUGGCAGUCAGAGGCGAUGAAGGGCGUGCUAAUCUGCGAUAAGCGCCGGUAAGGUGAUAUGAACCGUUAUAACCGGCGAUACCCGAAUGGGGAAACCCAGUGUGUUUCGACACACUAUCAUUAACUGAAUCCAUAGGUUAAUGAGGCGAACCGGGGGAACUGAAACAUCUAAGUACCCCGAGGAAAAGAAAUCAACCGAGAUUCCCCCAGUAGCGGCGAGCGAACGGGGAGGAGCCCAGAGCCUGAAUCAGCAUAUGUGUUAGUGGAAGCGUCUGGAAAGGCGCGCGAUACAGGGUGACAGCCCCGUACACAAAAGCGCAUGUGCUGUGAGCUCGAUGAGUAGGGCGGGACACGUGGUAUCCUGUCUGAAUAUGGGGGGACCAUCCUCCAAGGCUAAAUACUCCUGACUGACCGAUAGUGAACCAGUACCGUGAGGGAAAGGCGAAAAGAACCCCGGCGAGGGGAGUGAAAAAGAACCUGAAACCGUGUACGUACAAGCAGUGGGAGCACCCUUUGGGGUGUGACUGCGUACCUUUUGUAUAAUGGGUCAGCGACUUAUAUUCUGUAGCAAGGUUAACCGAAUAGGGGAGCCGGAGGGAAACCGAGUCUUAAUUGGGCGUUAAGUUGCAGGGUAUAGACCCGAAACCCGGUGAUCUAGCCAUGGGCAGGUUGAAGGUUGGGUAACACUAACUGGAGGACCGAACCGACUAAUGUUGAAAAAUUAGCGGAUGACCUGUGGCUGGGGGUGAAAGGCCAAUCAAACCGGGAGAUAGCUGGUUCUCCCCGAAAGCUAUUUAGGUAGCGCCUCGUGAAUUCAUCUCCGGGGGUAGAGCACUGUUUCGGCUAGGGGGCCAUCCCGGCUUACCAACCCGAUGCAAACUGCGAAUACCGGAGAAUGUUAUCACGGGAGACACACGGCGGGUGCUAACGUCCGUCGUGAAGAGGGAAACAACCCAGACCGCCAGCUAAGGUCCCAAAGUCAUGGUUAAGUGGGAAACGAUGUGGGAAGGCCCAGACAGCCAGGAUGUUGGCUUAGAAGCAGCCAUCAUUUAAAGAAAGCGUAAUAGCUCACUGGUCGAGUCGGCCUGCGCGGAAGAUGUAACGGGGCUAAACCAUGCACCGAAGCUGCGGCAGCGACGCUGAUGCGUUGUUGGGUAGGGGAGCGUUCUGUAAGCCUGCGAAGGUGGCCUGUGAGGGUUGCUGGAGGUAUCAGAAGUGCGAAUGCUGACAUAAGUAACGAUAAAGCGGGUGAAAAGCCCGCUCGCCGGAAGACCAAGGGUUCCUGUCCAACGUUAAUCGGGGCAGGGUGAGUCGACCCCUAAGGCGAGGCCGAAAGGCGUAGUCGAUGGGAAACGGGUUAAUAUUCCCGUACUUGGUGUUACUGCGAAGGGGGGACGGAGAAGGCUAUGUUGGCCGGGCGACGGUUGUCCCGGUUUAAGCGUGUAGGUGUGUGUUCCAGGUAAAUCCGGUUCACUUUAACACUGAGGCGUGAUGACGAGGCACUACGGUGCUGAAGCAACAAAUGCCCUGCUUCCAGGAAAAGCCUCUAAGCAUCAGGUAACAUCAAAUCGUACCCCAAACCGACACAGGUGGUCAGGUAGAGAAUACCAAGGCGCUUGAGAGAACUCGGGUGAAGGAACUAGGCAAAAUGGUGCCGUAACUUCGGGAGAAGGCACGCUGACACGUAGGUGAAGUGAUUUACUCAUGGAGCUGAAGUCAGUCGAAGAUACCAGCUGGCUGCAACUGUUUAUUAAAAACACAGCACUGUGCAAACACGAAAGUGGACGUAUACGGUGUGACGCCUGCCCGGUGCCGGAAGGUUAAUUGAUGGGGUCAGCGCAAGCGAAGCUCCUGAUCGAAGCCCCGGUAAACGGCGGCCGUAACUAUAACGGUCCUAAGGUAGCGAAAUUCCUUGUCGGGUAAGUUCCGACCUGCACGAAUGGCGUAAUGAUGGCCAGGCUGUCUCCACCCGAGACUCAGUGAAAUUGAACUCGCUGUGAAGAUGCAGUGUACCCGCGGCAAGACGGAAAGACCCCGUGAACCUUUACUAUAGCUUGACACUGAACAUUGAGCCUUGAUGUGUAGGAUAGGUGGGAGGCUUUGAAGUGUGGACGCCAGUCUGCAUGGAGCCGGCCUUGAAAUACCACCCUUUAAUGUUUGAUGUUCUAACGUGGACCCGUGAUCCGGGUUGCGGACAGUGUCUGGUGGGUAGUUUGACUGGGGCGGUCUCCUCCUAAAGAGUAACGGAGGAGCACGAAGGUUGGCUAAUCCUGGUCGGACAUCAGGAGGUUAGUGCAAUGGCAUAAGCCAGCUUGACUGCGAGCGUGACGGCGCGAGCAGGUGCGAAAGCAGGUCAUAGUGAUCCGGUGGUUCUGAAUGGAAGGGCCAUCGCUCAACGGAUAAAAGGUACUCCGGGGAUAACAGGCUGAUACCGCCCAAGAGUUCAUAUCGACGGCGGUGUUUGGCACCUCGAUGUCGGCUCAUCACAUCCUGGGGCUGAAGUAGGUCCCAAGGGUAUGGCUGUUCGCCAUUUAAAGUGGUACGCGAGCUGGGUUUAGAACGUCGUGAGACAGUUCGGUCCCUAUCUGCCGUGGGCGCUGGAGAACUGAGGGGGGCUGCUCCUAGUACGAGAGGACCGGAGUGGACGCAUCACUGGUGUUCGGGUUGUCAUGCCAAUGGCACUGCCCGGUAGCUAAAUGCGGAAGAGAUAAGUGCUGAAAGCAUCUAAGCACGAAACUUGCCCCGAGAUGAGUUCUCCCUGAGACUUAGAGUCUCCUGAAGGAACGUUGAAGACGACGACGUUGAUAGGCCGGGUGUGUAAGCGCAGCGAUGCGUUGAGCUAACCGGUACUAAUGAACCGUGAGGCUUAACCUU